UACGUAGGGUGCAAGCGUUGUCCGGAAUUAUUGGGCGUAAAGAGCUCGUAGGCGGUUUGUCGCGUCGAAUGUGAAAUCCCGGGGCUCAACCCCGGGUCUGCAUUCGAUACGGGCAGACUAGAGUUCGGUAGGGGAGUCUGGAAUUCCUGGUGUAGCGGUGAAAUGCGCAGAUAUCAGGAGGAACACCAGUGGCGAAGGCGGUGCUCUGGGCCGGAACUGACGCUGAGGAGCGAAAGCGUGGGGAGCAAACAGG
rnacentral:rRNA from 1 species